rnacentral:rRNA from 1 species
AACGUGCCUCGAGCACGAGGACAGCCGGGGGAAACUCCGGUUAAUACUCGAUAAGACCACAGCACCGCAGGGUGCAGGGGUCAAAGGGUGGGGACCUUCGGGCCUGCCGGCUCGAGAGCGGCCCAUGUCCUAUCAGCUUGUUGGUGGGGUAACGGCCUACCAAGGCUACGACGGGUACCGGGACUGAGAGGUUGACCCGGCGCAUCGGGACUGAGACACUGCCCGGACUCCUACGGGAGGCUGCAGUAACGAAUAUUGGGCAAUGGGCGAAAGCCUGACCCAGCGACGCCGCGUGUGGGAAGAAUGCCUUCGGGUUGUAAACCACUGUCAGGGAUUACCAACCAACCGGUGUGAAUAGCGCCGGGAGUUGAGGAGUCCCAGAGGAAGUCACGGCUAACUUCGUGCCAGCAGCCGCGGUAAUACGAAGGUGGCUAGCGUUGUUCGGAAUCACUGGGCUUAAAGAGCACGUAGGCGGAUGAUCAAGCGUCUUGUGAAAGCCCUCGGCUCAACCGGGGAAUUGCUUGGCGAACUGAUCAUCUUGAGGCAGGUAGGGGCGAGUGGAACUCUUGGUGGAGCGGUGGAAUGCUUAGAUAUCAAGAGGAACGCCAGAGGCGAAGGCGACUCGCUGGGCCUGACCUGACGCUGAGGUGCGAAAGCCAGGGGAGCGAACGGGAUUAGAUACCCCGGUAGUCCUGGCCCUAAACGAUGUCCACUAGGUCGGUGAGGUUCUAAUGCUUUGCUGGCCGAAACAAAAGCGUUAAGUGGACCGCCUGGGGAGUACGGUCGCAAGGCUAAAACUCAAAGGAAUUGACGGGGGCUCACACAAGCGGUGGAGCAUGUUGCUUAAUUCGAUGCAACGCGAAGAACCUUAUCCUGGGCUUGACAUACACGGAUGCCCUCCUGGAAACAGGUCGGGUUGCCCUUCGGGGUGAAACGUACACAGGUGCUGCAUGGCUGUCGUCAGCUCGUGUCGUGAGAUGUUGGGUUAAGUCCCGUAACGAGCGAAACCCUUGUCGCUAGUUGCCAGCGCGUAAUGGCGGGGACUCUAGCGAGACUGCCGGUGCUAAACCGGAGGAAGGUGGGGAUGACGUCAAGUCCUCAUGGCCUUUAUGCCCAGGGCUGCAAACGUGCUACAAUGGUAGGGACAGAGCGACGCAAGACCGUGAGGUGGAGCAAAUCGCAAAAACCCUGCCCCAGUU